rnacentral:rRNA from 1 species
UACGUAGGGUCCAAGCGUUAUCCGGAAUCACUGGGCGUAAAGCGUGCGUAGGCGGGUAUUUAAGUGAGACGUGAAAUCUUGGGGCUCAACCCCAUAGACUGUAUCUCAUACUGGAUACCUUGAGGACGGCAGAGGCAAGUGGAAUUACUGGUGUAGCAGUGAAAUGCGUAGAUAUCAGUAGGAACACCAAUGGCGAAGGCAGCUUGCUGGGCCGUUUCUGACGCUAAGGCACGAAAGCGUGGGGAGCGAACAGG